rnacentral:rRNA from 1 species
GACGAACGCUGGCGGCGUGCCUAAUACAUGCAAGUUGAGCGAUGAAGAUUGGUGCUUGCACCAAUUUGAAGAGCAGCGAACGGGUGAGUAACGCGUGGGGAAUCUGCCUUUGAGCGGGGGACAACAUUUGGAAACGAAUGCUAAUACCGCAUAACAACUUUAAACAUAAGUUUUAAGUUUGAAAGAUGCAAUUGCAUCACUCAAAGAUGAUCCCGCGUUGUAUUAGCUAGUUGGUGAGGUAAAGGCUCACCAAGGCGAUGAUACAUAGCCGACCUGAGAGGGUGAUCGGCCACAUUGGGACUGAGACACGGCCCAAACUCCUACGGGAGGCAGCAGUAGGGAGUCUUCGGCAAUGGACGAAAGUCUGACCGAGCAACGCCGCGUGAGUGAAGAAGGUUUUCGGAUCGUAAAACUCUGUUGGUAGAGAAGAACGUUGGUGAGAGUGGAAAGCUCAUCAAGUGACGGUAACUACCCAGAAAGGGACGGCUAACUACGUG